rnacentral:lncRNA from 1 species
CUUCUGCCGCCCACCGGGCGGCCGGGCUUCUCCGCGCCUUCGCCCCUCGCUCCCAGCUCACUCGCUCCUGCGGCGCCCGCUGCGGCUUCUCCUCCUCCUUCGCCUCCUCCUCUUCCUCCAGUUUCUUCUUCUCCUCCUCCUCCUCUUCUUCCUCCUCCUCCUCUUCUUCCUCCUCCUCUUUCCCCACCUACUCCCCCUCAGCCACCGCCUCCUCCUCCACCAGCACCACUCCCUCCGGGGCACCCCGGUCCCUGCAGAGUCCCUGGCCGGCGCCGCCUCCGCUGCGGCCCCCUGAAUCCCGAGCCUGCCUCGCCCAAGCUGGUAGGACAGAAGGACAGACAGAUUCCUCUAGCCUAGCGCUCCGCCGCUGCUGCCUUACGCGGCCCCGCGUCGGGAGAACUGGGAUCGCCCCAAGAGCACCGCGAGGGGUCAUCUCAGGCUGGCUGCAUGCCUCAGCUGAAGAUCCCAGCUCCUGUCAAUGCCACCUCUCUGCUUGACUGUCUCCUUCCAGAUUCGAGCAGGUAUGAGCUGGGAAGAAUGAAGGCAGGGCAUGCCCGUGUGCCAGCUCUGCACAGCUGGAUAGCUGAGGAAAGAUGUGGAGGAGAAGCCGGGGAUUGUGUGGAAGUCUAAGGGUGUUGUUUGCCCUUUGGGUUCCAGAAGAUGCAUGCCAGGACCCUGGGUGGCACUGCCAGGAAGCAACAGAGAGGAGAUAAAACUCACAGCAGACAGACUUGCCUUAACAACAACUCCCUUGAAUUAAAACACGCUUUUCAAGAAAACAAAUUAUCAGUUCGAUCAGCAAACAGCAGAGAAGUUUCUCUCAUAAUGGCAAAGAAGGGCCGGGUUGCUGACCAGUGAAAGAGCUUCAGAAAAGGAGAGGGGAGAUGAGAUGGCCAGAAGGAGCAAGAGCACCGUACAUCCCUGGACAACCUCAUUCUAAUGGGUCAGGGGCUGGGACGUGCAUUUUGGAGUGCAGGAGAAGUGGCAACUCACAAAUGCUAGAUUUUCUUCUAGAGAUGACCAAGCUGUAGUUCUUAAAGCAGUGGCACUAGGGCAGAAAACUCUCACACUUUGAUGUGCACACACAGCCCCUGGGGAUCUUGUUGACAUGUAGAUUCUGAUUCCGUAAGUCGGGCUGAGAUUCUGCAUUUCCAACAAGCUCCUAGAUGAGGUCCAUUUUGCUGGUCCAUGAAACACACUUAGAAUAAGUAGCAAGGUAUAGGAGGAUACUGACUUUGCUCAGUGAUGCUUGGGCUUCCGUCCAAACUAAAAUAAAACAAAAGCAGACAUAAAUGGCCCAAUUCAACAGCCUGAGAAGUUUGGUGAUAAUGACCCAAGCCCUGGCCUGGUGACCAAGUGGCUGCUCAGAGAGCUCUAUCUCCAAACUCCUUCCCUUCCUGCCUCCCCUCCAAGAGUGAGUAAUGUGCCAGAGUUCAUUGGGGUCUGCUGUCCCCAGGGAAAGGUGGCCCAGUUGCCAAGUGCAAGUGUAUAGAACGGCUUACCUGUGCAAAGCUAUCAGCCCUGGACCUAUGGGCCUAGAAACAUUACUUGCCACUCACUCACUCACUAUCAUUCAUUCAUUUCUGCAACAAACACUUCCUGAGCAUAUGCUAUACACCAGGCCCUGAGCUCAGCUCUGGGGAUACAGGAUGAAUGGCAGAUUGUGCCAUCAGGAAGCCGACUGCACAGUCAGCCCGCUGGAGCACAUAUGAAAAACAAUACGGAUGUUUUGAUUUAUUAUCAUAUUGAUCAUUAUGAUGGUAGCGUAUACUUUUGGAAGGCUUGCCAUACAUUAGGCAUUGUGCUAAGCACAUUAUAUGGUUAAUCUCAUCAAUCUUCACAACCUAUGUGGCAGGUACUAUUAUUAAACCCACUUCAAAGAGGAGGGAACUGAACCUCAGAGAGGGUAAGUGACUUGCACAAGGACACAAGCUAGUGAGGAGAGGAACUGAGAGGAAUGGCCAGACAGGCCAUCAGCCUCUGUCCCCACAUGCUGGGUCUGAGUGUCUGACGGUGGACACAUUCCCUUCCUGGAGGGAGAGCUCCUAGGGAGCUGAUGGCAGCACUGAGUCUGGAAUGUGAUGGGAGUGCAUUAGAUGACGUGGGUGAUCUGAUGAGUACAGAGGCGUCACACUGCAAUGACUUCAUGCACAUAUCUCCCCUUGAAUGCACAGAGAUUCAGCAGAGGCCAGGAGCUCAAGUUUCUGGCCCAGUGUCCCCCUCUUCCCCUGGGGAAAGCCAGGGACACACUGCCUGGCUUUGCUACACCUUUCUAGGCAAAGGCAGUAUGCUCUCCCUCUCCUUGGCCUCCCUGGCUGUCCACACAUCCACACCCACUCACACACACAUGCACAUGAUCAUACACAUUACACAAGCCCACAUGCCCACAGACAUGCUCACACUCACACUCACAUGCAUACACUGCCAUACACAACACACAUACAUACAUUCACACACACUUGCACACACACACACACACACAGUUCUGAUGGCCAAUCUUUUGGGGCUAUGUUGACACUGUGAAGCAGGUGAAACAAAGUCUUUGCCACUCCCUGCUUUGGGCCUAUUAUGUUUGUUUUAUAGUUUAACUCUCAAAAGACAACUUUAUUUUCCAAAAUUAUUCAGGUUCCCAGCCAGGUGCAGUGGCUCACACCUGUAAUCCCAGUACUUUGGGAGGCCAAGGCGGGCAGAUCACCUGAGGUCAGGAGUUUGAGACCAGCUUGGCCAACAUGGUGAAACCCAGUCUCUACUAAAAAUACAAAAAUUAGCCAGACAUGGUGGCACACACAUGUAAUCCCAGCUAUUCGGGAGGCUGAGGCAGGAGAAUCGCUUGAACCCGGGAGGCGGAGGUUGCAGUGGGCCAAGAUCGUGCCACUGCACUCCAGCCUGGGCAACAGAGCAAGACUCCAUCUCAAAAAACAAAAACAAAAUCAUUCAGGUUCUGUAGGGGACCCUCACUGUGUCCUGGAUUCCAUUCCACUUUUAAAGUCCCAAACAGCUUGUAUGGCCACUUCCCUUGACACCCAAACCAGAUAGGAGUCUUAAAUGACACAGAGUAUUGAUGGUUUCUUUAAAAGGAAAUCCACUCUCAAUGGGAAGCUGGAUAACUUCGCAUCCAGAUUUCAUCCAUCUUGGGCUUUGGUGGCUGCUGUUUGUUUUUGUGCAGGAGAAUCUCUCCCAGCCAACGUCGAUUUCACUAACACAGUGGUUAACCUUUGCUCUCUACUCCUGCAUCAAUCUUCCGCCUACCGCAUGUUGAGCCAUGCUGCUUUCUGGCAUUCCUUUUGGAUUUUCAGUUUACUACCCAACUACCAGUCCUAAUAACAUCAGAUAAAAGGGCUUCCGCUGUGCUGCACUUGUUUUCAAAAACUAUAAAUGCCAUCGACCCAGAGUUAAGUCCAGCCUCAGAGAGACAGAAUAUAAAUACCCAAGUGGCCCUGGGCCACUGAGUUCCUCAGACAUUAUGUGCUAUGGGAGUUCCAGAAAGGGGGAUUGCCUGGUUUUGAGUGCAGAAGGCUUCCUGGAGGAGGCGAGAUUUCUGAUGGGCCUCUGUUAUGAGCUAAAUUGAGUCCACCCCAAAAUUCAGAUGUUCAAAUCCUAACCUGUAGUACCUAAGCAUGUGGCCUUAUUUGGAAGCAGAAGCAUAACAGAGGUAAUUCGUUAAGAUGAGGUCACAGUGGAAGAGGGUGGACCCCAAUCUGAUACAACUCGUGUCCUUAUAAAAAGCAGAAAUUUGAAGACAGACACACAAGAAGAUGAAGGCAGAGACCUGGCUGAUGCGGCUAUAAGCCAAGGAACGCCAAAGAUUGCCAGCAAAGCACCAGCAGCCAGGGAGAGGCCUCGAACAAAUUCUCCCUCCCAGCAAAAAGGAGGAAGGAAGGAACCUCCAAAAGAAGCAGGCCAGGCACAGUGGCUCACGCCUGUAAUCCCAGUACUUUGGGAGGUUAAGGCAGGCGGAUCACCUGAGAUCAAGAGUUCAAGACCAGCCUGGCCAACAUGGUGAAACCUCAUCUCUACAGAAAAAUACAAAAAUUAGUCAGGUGUAGUGGCGUGCACCUGUAGUCCCAGUUACUCGGGAGGCUGAGGCAAGAGAAUCGCUUGAACCUGGGAGGUGGAGGUUGCAGUGAGCCAAGAUCGUGCCAUUGCACUCCAGCCUGGGUGACAGAGCGAGACUCCAUCUCAGAAAAACAAAAAAGAACCCUACUGACACCUGGAUUUCAGACUUCCAGCCUCCAGAACUGUGAGAUGUUACAUUUCUGUCAUUUAAACACCCAGUUUGUAGUACUUUGUUGCAACAGCUCUAGUGAGCUAAUACAGCCUUGUAGGACAGGUAGGAAUUUGUAAUGCACAGAGAAAGCCAACUGGCCACAGUUGUUGAAAAUAAUAGAAUCGAAGCGCCCCUAUCACUACCACCCCAGGCCAUCACUUUCAAAGCUGUUCAAAAUGAUGCAGCCGCGUGAGAAGGCCGGAAGGCCAGGGCGGGAGAUGGGCUCCAGGUGGGCCCAGGCUGCCUGCAGAACCAGCUUGCCUCACUGCCUGGUUGCCAAGGAGCACCUGUGGCUAGGAGGAGAUGCCCAGGAAGAAAAUUUGGCCACAUCCCUGCCUGCCUCCCUGGCAAUGGGUGAUGCUCUCUGCCAGCUGGCCCAGCUCCCCCACCACAUACCUGGCUAGGAGUCAGUAGGAAAACAGUGUGUGUUUGUAGGGCUCUGCACUGAAGGGCAUUAGAUCCAUGCAAAGGCUAAUAAAUUAGAGAUAAGUGGGAUUUGUAGAUUUGCUGGAGGUUAGAGCUGCAGGGUCUGGCAUCAGCUCUGGGUCUUUUCCAUGGCCCCAGGCUGGCUCAGGUGUGAGCUGAAGAGGCAAAACUGUCUGUUUAGGUUGCAUUGGGUUCCCCUGAAAGAUCUGUUGAAGUCCUAACCUCGGGUACCUCUGUUUGUGCUAUUUGCAAACAGGCUCUUUGCAGAUGUAAUCAAGGAAAGAUGAGGCAACGCUGAUUUAGUCAGGCCUUAAUCCAGUGACUGGUGUCUUCAUAAGACAAGGAAAUCUGGACACAGACACACAAAGAGGAAAAAGCCAAAGACACAGAGACACAUGUACACAGGGAGAACUCCAUGGGACAACGCAGGCACAGAUCGGAGUGACGCGGCUGCAAGCCAAGGAGCGCCAAGAUUGCCAGCAACCCCCUGGGGCUGCAAGAGGUGAGAAGGAGCCUUCGGAGGGAACAUGCACUGCUGAUUCCUUGAUUCCAGAUUUCUGACCUCCAGAAGCAUGGGAGAACAGAUUUCCCUUGUUUGAAGGCACCCAGUCUGUGGUCCUUCAUCAUGGCAGCCCUCAGGAAUGGAUACAGGCCCUUCCCUGCCUGCCUGGUGGAGCAGCCUCCAAGGGGAGCCUUUGCUAGCAGGAAGAGGCAUCGCAUGGAGCUCAGACCCGCCUCAGAGGAACUUCUCUCAGCCUCCUCUCUCCGCACACCCGACCAAGAUACAAGCAAGGAAACGUGUGGCAUCUGGCUACCAUGAGCUGAAGACAAAGCCUACAUGGGGAAAAGUGCAAAACCAGGAGAAUGGGAGAGAAAUGGAGCCACGCACUGAUGCUGUUGUGAAACAUCUCAAUCAAACUGCACCUGAAGACCGCCCUAUCCCUGCAUUUUUCAUUUACAUGAGCCAAUAAACUCUCUCAUUUAAGUCAACAGGAGGGGUAUUUUCUGUUACUUGCAAGAGAAACAUCCCAAAUAGUACAUGAAAUUGUUCUCUGUUCCAUUCGUCUUCAAGGGGGUCAGAAUGAGCGGCAUCUGGUCCUGUUAUCAUUAACUAUGCAAAUAUUUCUUCCACUUCACAUCACGCUGAACAGAGGCUCAUUCUGUGGUUCUGCCCCUCAGCUCCCCAAACCUAUCUCAAGGCCCCAUUGAAUCCCCCUGCAUCACCUCUCCCUGCUCAAAAAAAAAAAAAAAAAAUACACAGGGGCUCAGCCCACAGAGGAGGAGCCCUCAGAUAGCUACAGCCUUGUGUUCCCAUGCCCUGCCCUCCACCUACCCCUUGCUGAGGCAUACUUGAUCUCCUCUCCAAGAGCAGGGGGAACGGGCUUGUGGCAAUCAGAGUUUUCCAGAUCUUUUAUUCCAUACUUGGAUCUUGGCUUUCAAUACUCAAAGCCAAACAUUUAGCUCUUGUUCUCUUCAUUGUGCUCUAAUGAUCCUCUCUCGAGGUGAUGAUCCAUCUGCCAAAAUGCGGGGAGCAUUACUGAUAACAGGAAAAACCAGGAGCAAAUGUGGAAUGAAUGUAUCAGCUCCCCGUCUCUUCUCAGAGACCUCCUCACAAUAGCUGACUGCUUUGGGGAAUUGAUAAGUUCUUGGAGCAGAGGGUGUGAGCUUGGGGAGACACCCUCAGGGAGCCGCCCGUGAGGAGCAAGAGAUGGUUUAUAUCCAGCCAACCAUUUCUCUGACAUUGAGAAGAGGUGACAGCUGAGAGCAAAAGUGGGGUUGCUUGGGAUAAUAAAGAAGUUUCUAGAGACUGUAGAUUCGAAGAGAGAGGAAAGGUGAAGCAGGAAACAGAAACAUUGAGGAAAGAAUAAAGGCAUUUCGAGGGCUAUCUCUGGUGUUUUGCUGUGUUGAGCCAUCUUUCACCGAGGCCACUGCAGCAGCGUCCCCACUGAUCUCCCACUAUGUCCCCCACCAAUGCGUCCUCCACACACUGACAGAAUGACCUUCCUGAGAUGCAAAUCUGGCGGUCUUCUUUCUGCCUAAAACCUUCAGUGGCUCCCCAUUGCCCUCAGAAAAAAGUCCAGUCUCUCCAAGUAGCCGUGAGUCCCUCCGUGAUGUGACUCCUCACCUUCCACUUUACACUUGGCAAAUUGAGCUCCUGCCAUCUCCUCACCCACCUAUGGCCUCCUCUCCCUCACUGCAGGGUUUUGGCAACCAUGGACCAUGCAUGGAAGGCCCCUGCCUUCUCCUCCACACAUUUUUUUUAAUCCUCACAACCACCCCAAUGAGGGGAUCUGUAUCCUAAUUGUAGACAUGAAGAAACUAAGGCUCAAAGCGUUUAAGUCCUAUGCAAAGGUCACAUAGCUUCAAAAGCAGAGGACCCAGGUUUUAAAACUGGCCCUGUCCAAGGUCUAUGAUCUUUCCAACAUGCCAAUGCCAACAAGACUGGCCAUCACAACACAAGUGACAUGGAGGAAGAGCAUGGUGACACAUCUUUACAAGACAAGAGCUCUCAGCUCUGGUAUUGCAUCAUCCCCCAGGACCCUGAGGCUAGGUAGUUUUGCAGGUGGGGGGGAGUCAAGAAAGAUCUAGGAAGACAAAUACUGUCUAUUUCUACUUACAUGAGGUAAGCGAAAUCCACAGACCGAAAAUAGAAUGCUGGUUGCCAGGGGCUGGAGGUGAGGAGAAGGAGGAGUUACCAUUUAAUGGUAAAGAGUUUCAGUUUUGCAAGAAGAAAUUUCUGGAGAUGGUGGUGGUCAUGGUUGCACAACAGUGUGAAGAUACACAAUGCCACUGACCUCCACACUUAAAAAUGGUUAGGAGAGUAAAUUUUAUAAUAGGUGUAUUUUGCCACAAUCACAAAUAAUUUUUUUAAAUUGCACAAUGAAAAUCACAGGGUUCAUGGGAAUAAUAGAGUUGACCCAUAACAUUCAAAGACUGUCAUUUACAUAUUUUGAAAAGAUAGGAAUCUAAUAAUAACCAUAGCACAAUUUUGCACAUGUUCAGUGGUGAGAGAGUAUAUAAGUAUCACAAUGCAUAUGACACUUUAUCUUGAAGAAAGAAAGAAAAAAUCUGGAACAAGUUUCUCAAACUUAUUGGUCUCAAUACCUCUUUAUACUCUUAAAACAUAAUUAAGAACUCCAAAGAGCUCAUGUUUAUGUGGUUUAUAGCUAUCGAUAUUUUCCAUAUGCUAAAUAAAAACUGAGAAAUAUUUAACCAACAAGAAUACACAGGUGUAACUUCCAUCCGUCACCAGAGUGAUGACAUCAUCCCAUGUCACAUAGGCCACAAAAACCUCCACUGCACACUUGUGACAAAAUGAAAGGGAAAAGGGCAAAUAACAUCAUCAUAUGCUUUAUGUUUUUUUUUUUUUUUUUUUGAGACGGAGUUUCAGUCUCAUCGUCACC